GCACGGGUGAGUAACACGUGAAUAAUCUACCUCCGAGUGGGGAAUAACUGAGAGAAAUCUUAGCUAAUACCGCAUAACACUUACGAGUCAAAGCAGCAAUGCGCUUGGAGAGGAGUUCGCGGCCGAUUAGUUAGUUGGCGGGGUAAUGGCCCACCAAGACGAUGAUCGGUAUCCGGCCUGAGAGGGCGCACGGACACACUGGAACUGAAACACGGUCCAGACUCCUACGGGAGGCAGCAGUGGGGAAUUUUGCGCAAUGGGGGAAACCCUGACGCAGCAACGCCGCGUGGAGGAUGAAGUAUUUCGGUACGUAAACUCCUUUCGAUGGGGAAGAUAAUGACGGUACCCAUAGAAGAAGCCCCGGUAACUUCGUGCCAGCAGCCGCGGUAAUACGAGGGGGGCAAGCGUUGUUCGGAUUUAUUGGGCGUAAAGGGUGCGUAGGCGGUUUGGCAAGUCUUGUGUGAAAUCUAUGGGCUCAACCCAUAGCCUGCCGAGAAAUACCGGGUUGAGUGAUGGAGAGGUUGAGUGGAAAUUUCCCGGGUGUAGCGGUG
rnacentral:rRNA from 1 species